AAUGCAAACUGGUCUGUCGCUAGUUCCCUUCUGAUAACUAUCGGAAUGGGAAGAGAGGAAAGUCCGGGCAACAUAGAGCAUCCUGCUUCCUAACGGGAAGGACUUAUCCUGACUAAUAAUCAGGAUAGGGACAGAAAGUGCCACAGAGAAUAUACCGCCUUGUCCCGAUAGCUAUCGGGACGGGGUAAGGGUGAAAACGUGAGGUAAGAGCUCACGGCUUUGUCGGGCGAUCGGCAUCGCGGUAAACCUCAGGAGUUGAAAGACCAAAUAAAUCUCGAUCUAGGAAUUGCUCGUUCCUUGAUGCUUUUAGCAUCUGUCGGGAAGGGUAGGUUGCUAGAGCCAAUUGGCGACGAUUGGCCCAGAUAAAUGACAGAUAAUUCCGAAAUGUAUUUCGGAAGAAACAGAACCCGGCUUACACGUUUGCAUUUUUU
rnacentral:RNase_P_RNA from 1 species